rnacentral:rRNA from 1 species
UACGGGGGGGGCAAGCGUUGUUCGGAAUUACUGGGCGUAAAGGGCUCGUAGGCGGCCAACUAAGUCAGACGUGAAAUCCCUCGGCUUAACCGGGGAACUGCGUCUGAUACUGGAUGGCUUGAAUUCGGGAGAGGGAUGCGGAAUUCCAGGUGUAGCGGUGAAAUGCGUAGAUAUCGUAAGGAAGACCAGUGGCGAAGGCGGGUCUCUGGACAGUUCCUGACGCUGAGGCACGAAGGUCAGGGGAGCAAACGGG